rnacentral:rRNA from 1 species
UUGCCCUACGGGACGCAGCAGUGGGGAAUAUUGCACAAUGGGGGAAACCCUGAUGCAGCGACGCCGCGUGAGUGAAGAAGCGUUUCGGCGCGUAAAGCUCCGUCAGCGGGGAAGAAACAGGGUUCGCGAGAGCCGCGGACGGUACCCGACCAAGAAGCCCCGGCUAACUACGUGCCAGCAGCCGCGGUAAUACGUAGGGGGCAAGCGUUAUCCGGAUUCACUGGGUGUAAAGGGAGCGUAGACGGCGAGACAAGUCUGGAGUGAAAGGCCGGGGCCCAACCCCGGGACUGCUUUGGAAACUGUAC